GUUAUCUGACCUUGAAGAACUUGUAUUCUAAGAGCAUGUAUAUGAGUAAAGAUGCUUGCCCUGCAUGGACUCAGAUUGCAUGGAGGUACCCUGCAUUCUGUUUUCCUACUAAGUGAGUAGGGAUAACUUCUUUUGAUUGGCUGCCAACUAGAAUAAGCUGAGUAAUUGGAGGAGGCUGUGUCCUUAAUACUAGCCAGGGUGGGUCAGUCUUUUCUCUUUCCUGUAACUUCCAGAGCGUGAAGAUCACAGUUCACAUUUAACGUGGAGGCCAUGAACUAACUGGAAGGGAAUGAGACUUUCCCCAUUCCACCCUCUUUUUUUACCCUGGCUCUGACUCUGAGAAAUGGACCUUGAAUCUGUUCAGUGUUUGCCUUCUCAAUUUCAAAUGCUGGCAGAUACUCCACUAAAUGCAAGAAUUCGAGCCAUGGCAAACCUUGUAUUGAAGGAAGGAUGUUGCAAUCAGCCAACCAGGUACUGGUGGAAUCUCUAAAGUUCAUACUUGGGUAUCGCUCCUGUUGCCUCUCAGUCCCUGCACCCAAUGGAGAACAAAUUAUUGAAAACCCAAAGAAUACUCCAGAAGAAAAGGAUGUAGGAAGUUCCUGCAAUGCUGCAGUGCUAUCAAGAAGGAUGAAGAUUAAGAUUUAUUAGAUUUGGGAAUUAAGAAAUCAUUAAUAACUUUAGAAAGAGUAAUCAGAGGUUCAGUAAAACUGAAGAAGGAGGAAUGGGAGUUUCCUAAACAUAUGGUCAAUGAUUCCAGGCAAAAUACAAGUUGAUGGGGGCACCUCUGAUGAUGAAGAAGUGAUUAGAAGAUUCAAGAUCUUGGCCUUCACAGGCCUCUCAGCCUCCCUGAACUCCCAGAUUACCUGAGAUGCUGUGAGCUGGAGAAGUCCAUUCUUCUAUACUCCAAGUUCAGGUUGGCCUGGAAGAGUUGUAUACUAAGGGAUAUUCAAGGUCCCUUAUAAGGAAGGCAAAUAAAUACAACUGUUGGAAAGAAUAAGCAAUAAAAAUUAAUUAUCCAAAGUUUAGUAGAUAUUUAACAGAGAAGAAAGACCUAUUUAUGCCUGGGGGCUGGAAAUGGCUAAAUGACUUGCCCAGAACCAUACUGCCAGUAUAUAUAAGAGAGAAGAUUUAAAUGUAUAUCUUCCUGACUUUAAGGCUAUCUCUUUAUCCACUAUCCCACAUUUCCAUUCUAUAUUAGUAUGCCAUGAUUUAGUCAGUCAUUUUACAAAUGUUUGGUGCACAGAUGGUUUCCAAGUAUGUGCUAUUACAAAUAGAGAAAUUCUGAAUAUUUUUGAUCCAUAAAGGUCCUUUUUUCUGAAACUUUUGAAAUAAA